GAUGAACGCUGGCGGCGUGCUUAACACAUGCAAGUCGAACGGAGUUGUUUCGCUGACGAGGCUUCGGCCAAAUCUUGAAACAACUUAGUGGCGGACGGGUGAGUAACGCGUGGGUAACCUGCCAUAUACAGGGGGAUAACACUUAGAAAUAGGUGCUAAUACCGCAUAAGCGCACAGAGCUGCAUGGCUCAGUGUGAAAAACUCCGGUGGUAUAUGAUGGAUCCGCGUCUGAUUAGCUAGUUGGUGAGGUAACGGCCCACCAAGGCGACGAUCAGUAGCCGGACUGAGAGGUUGAACGGCCACAUUGGGACUGAGAUACGGCCCAGACUCCUACGGGAGCAGCAGUCGGGAAUAUUGCGCAAUGGAGGAAACUCUGACGCAGUGACGCCGCGUAUAGGAAGAAGGUUUUCGGAUUGUAAAACUAUUGUCGUUAGGGAAGAUACAAGACAGUACCUAAGGAGGAAGCCCCCGGGCUAAACUAUGUGCCAGCAGCCG
rnacentral:rRNA from 1 species